UUGCCAAUGAAUGGAUUGGACUAAUACCAGCCCUAUUUCCAAACUAGGUCCAUGCACCCACUCAAAGCAAAGGCAUGUGUAGUCAAAAGGAUUUCUUUGCUUCUUGUUGUGCAGAGGGUUGUACAACCGUGAAGAAAAGCAGAAAACAAAGAGGAAGCAUCAGGAAGGGAAACAGGAAAUCAAAGAGCUCACAAAAAGGAGUGAAGCAAAGAGCUGAACUAGAGAGUUCUUUGGGCGAGAUUUUCUACCGGUUCCUGAUGUAGAGGACAUCGUGAUGCUUGAUGACUCCUGUGCAGAUCCCAUGACCAUUUUCAGUUAUUUUGUAAGGGUAAGAAAAUUUGGGAAUGUUGUUCUCCAUUGCCUGUACUUUUUUUAAGGCAUGAUCUGUUCUGUGUGCAACAUAUUACAUUAUUUAACGUACAUUAUUUUAGCAUCUUUCUACAUGCUUUAGAUAGGCAUAUUUUUAGAUAUAAAAGAGCUUUGACUUUCUUAUUCAGACACAGUAUCUUUCAUUGUUGGUAUAUAACAAAAAAGGUACAAAGGUGAAAGUAGAACGGAAUAUAGAUUUUGAUAUCAAGACACCUUUUGGUUUUAAUCUUUAGGAAUGUAGACAGUGUUGAACCUAUGCUUACUAGGCUUCAUAAAUUCAUCUUAGAGAUUCAUUUUAAAACUCUCUCUCACAAAAUUCUCCCCUAAGUCAUGGAAGAUUCCACUAAAUGGUUUUAAAAGAUCUUACAGUUACUCAGUAAAAAGCCCUCAAGAAGACCUCCACGGUAAUAUGUCUUCAUAUGGGAUUUGCAGCCCUCUGUUUCCAUUUAAUGUCAUUUUUAGCUUUCAGAUCUUUUGUCCAAUUCAGAUAGAAUGCUUAUUUCAGCUUGUUUCUCUAUCUCCCAGCUGUGCUGUGUCAGGGGCCAGAUCUAGGAUGUGAAGAGCACAAGGGCAGAUUUCACCGUGAUUAUCAUUAUUUGUGUUUGUCAAGCGCAUCUAAAUCUUUCCAUUGUUCUAUCAUCUCUGGGAUGUGAAGAGAAAAUCUUAAAGCUUAACUCUUUGCUCAAAAUUAACUUUUUGUUGUGGAAUCUCCUCAGCACUGUUGAAGUUAUUAAUCCCUCCUUAAUCCCUAUCUAGACUUGCAAUUUUCCAUUUAGGACAACUUCAUGAAAAUAGCAGUCAUUUAAAAUGAAUGGAAAAAUAGAACAUAGCAGCUAUAGUGACUGUUUUUGUUUGUUUGUUUGUUUGUUUUCCCUAAAUCGUUAAAACAUAUUUAACCUUGAACUAGAACUUAUUGUAGAAAUCUUAGCUAAAUAAAAGUACUUGGUAAAGUCUGUCA
rnacentral:lncRNA from 1 species